rnacentral:rRNA from 1 species
AACACCGGCGGCCCGAGUGGUGAUCGUGAUUAUUGGGUCUAAAGGGUCCGUAGCCGGUUUGGUCAGUCCUCCGGGAAAUCUGAUAGCUCAACUAUUAGGCUUUCGGGGGAUACUGCCAGACUUGGAACCGGGAGAGGUAAGAGGUACUACAGGGGUAGGAGUGAAAUCUUGUAAUCCCUGUGGGACCACCUGUGGCGAAGGCGUCUUACCAGAACGGGUUCGACGGUGAGGGACGAAAGCUGGGGGCACGAACCGGAUUAGAUACCCGGGUAGUCCCAGCCGUAAACGAUGCUCGCUAGGUGUCAGGCAUGGCGCGGCCGUGUCUGGUGCCGCAGGGAAGCCGUGAAGCGAGCCACCUGGGAAGUACGGCCGCAAGGCUGAAACUUAAAGGAAUUGGCGGGGGAGCACAACAACGGGUGGAAGCCUGCGGUUUAAUUGGACUCAACGCCGGACAACUCACCGGGGGCGACAGCAAUAUGUAGGCCAAGCUGAAGACUUUGCCUGAAUCGCUGAGGAGUGGUGCAUGG